AACCUGGUUGAUCCUGCCAGUAGUCAUAUGCUUGUCUCAAAGACUAAGCCAUGCACGUCUAAGUACAAACUAAAUGAUGGUGAAACUGCAAAUGGCUCAUUACAACGGUUAUGAUGUACCCGGGAGUUCCGAUGGAUAUUUCCCAGUAACACUAGAACUAAUACCAUGUCCCUGCGUUUUAUUAGUUUCGCAC
rnacentral:rRNA from 1 species